rnacentral:rRNA from 1 species
UACUCCGCCGGCGACCGGCGCACGGGUGCGUAACGCGUAUGCAACCUACCUUUAACAGGGGCAUAACACUGAGAAAUUGGUACUAAUUCCCCAUAACAUUCGAGAAGGCAUCUUCUUGGGUUAAAAACUCCGGUGGUUAAAGAUGGGCAUGCGUUGUAUUAGCUAGUUGGUGAGGUAACGGCUCACCAAGGCAACGAUACAUAGGGGGACUGAGAGGUUAACCCCCCACAUUGGUACUGAGACACGGCCAA